rnacentral:rRNA from 1 species
UACCAGCACCCCGAGUGGUCGGGACGUUUAUUGGGCCUAAAGCAUCCGUAGCCGGUUCUGCAAGUCUUCCGUUAAAUCCACCUGCUUAACAGAUGGGCCGCGGAAGAUACUAUAGAGCUAGGAGGCGGGAGAGGCAAGCGGUACUCGAUGGGUAGGGGUAAAAUCCGUUGAUCCAUUGAAGACCACCAGCGGCGAAGGCGGCUUGCCAGAACGCGCUCGACGGUGAGGGAUGAAAGCUGGGGGAGCAAACCGG